CUGAAAGAAAACAUCACGGUAAUAAUUUUUAAAUUAAAAACUCUCACACACAUCAAUAUUUCAAAAGUAUUUUUUUUUUUCAUUUGCAGAAUCAAACUUUCACAAUUUAAAUAUUGUUAUCGAACAAACUCCAACUACAUGUUCUCUAGUCCAGAUGCAUGAAACCAAAUUGGACGCUUACUUACGGUCUCAAUCCCAACUGGUACCUUAGGGAAGCCAAAUCAGUCACUUCCAUUUGAUCAAAGUACCUUGAGGAUAAAGGUCAUUGAUUACAUAUAUGUAUAUGAAUAAUUGUACGUAAUCAUUUUACCAAAUGGGAAAAUCGGUGCCUAAAACUAAAAGCUAAAACCUAUGCACAUAUAAGUAAAAAUUGAAAAUAGACUUAGAUGAAGACACAAUAAGGAAGCAGGGUGUAAGAUACAAUUUGCCAAAAAAACUCCUAUACAACAACAGUUUCCUCAGAAGUCCAAAUGUGAAUUAAAAAGUAAAGGUAGGUAAAGAAAAAUUGAGAGAUAAAGGUUAAACCCAGAAAACAAGAAAAGGAUACAAAGACGAGGCUAGAUUCCAGUCAUGUUCACCAGAAGAAAACUAAACUAAAUUCAGACCAAUAGAGAUCUAAAAUCAUGGAAGAAGAUUGAAGUCCGAAAACAACCAAUUUACAACCAAAACCCAUCACGUGAUGCCGGAAACACAGAGAUCAAAUCAUCACAAGCUCGAAUUCAUUAAUAGAAGUAAAAGAGGAAACUCUGGUCUCAGAAACUGAAAAUUCAUCUCCCAAAACCAUGAAACAGUUCCCGUAUAUAAAAUCAUAGGUCAAUAUUCCAACUUUUUUCUUCCGGAACCAACAGAACCACAAGUCAAACCCCAAGGAUAAGCCCGAUAUUUAAGAAGUAAAAAAAAGAACUCGGCAUAUUUUCGAGAAACAAAAACCCAUCAAAGUUCAACAUGAUCAUCACCUCUUGGCAAAGAUUGUGGUUCAAAGACGAAAUCUUUAACUCCCUGAGAAUGUGAAUUUCGGCAAAUUUUUUCAAUUUCAAGAUGGGUGAGAGAUAAUUCAGAGUAAAAACGAUUCCAACCAGGAAAAAAAAAGGAGCCUGAAUUAGGCAGGAAAAAAAAAGAGCCUGAAUUAGGCAGGAAACGUUGGUUGAAGAGGGUGAGGAUUUAGAAAUUUGUGUUUUUCUCUCAUUGUGAAUCUGAAAUGUGAAAUGUGAAUCUGAUAGAGAUUAUGAUAAUGUGUUGUGAAUGGCUAAAAGUAAAACCCUGUGAAAACCACCAAAGCAAUGGCUUAAACCCCAAGAGUUUAUAGCAUUGACCGUACGUCAGUGUGACCG
rnacentral:sRNA from 1 species